rnacentral:rRNA from 1 species
GACGAACGCUGGCGGCGUGCUUAACACAUGCAGGUCGAACGGAAAGGCCCUGCUUUUGUGGGGUGCUCGAGUGGCGAACGGGUGAGUAACACGUGAGUAACCUGCCCUUGACUUUGGGAUAACUUCAGGAAACUGGGGCUAAUGCCGGAUAGGAGCUCCUGCUGCAUGGUGGGGGUUGGAAAGUUUCGGUGGUUGGGGAUGGACUCGCGGCUUAUCAGCUUGUUGGUGGGGUAGUGGCUUACCAAGGCUUUGACGGGUAGCCGGCCUGAGAGGGUGACCGGCCACAUUGGGACUGAGAUACGGCCCAGACUCCUACGGGAGGCAGCAGUGGGGAAUAUUGCACAAUGGGCGGAAGCCUGAUGCAGCAACGCCGCGUGCGGGAUGACGGCCUUCGGGUUGUAAACCGCUUUCGCCUGUGACGAAGCGUGAGUGACGGUAAUGGGUAAAGAAGCACCGGCUAACUACGUG